rnacentral:tRNA from 1 species
CGGCGUUGGACAGGACGCUGACGCCCAGCCGGCCUCCGGCGUUGGCCGGCAGCGCGUGCCGUACCCGGUCGGUCACCACGGCCAUCGCCGCC